UUCCUUGAUUAAUGAAGGAACUUUCCCUUCACACGGCUGGCCGCAUUGCUUAGUUCCAUGGCAUAUUUUUGUUUCUGAGAGGGAGCCACUAUAAAGUAAAACAAUUCUGACAGUUCUAAGGUUAAGUGUUGUCACACUGCUGUCAGUGCAGAAGAUUUCUAAGGCAAAACGCAUUAGUAUUAGCUGUAUAGUUGUAGAAAACGUAUUCUACAAACAUUUGGCACGUGUUUUUACUGUGAGGAACCAAAAGCGCAUGUUGCCAUGUGAGUGACCAAGAGCCUAUGCCAAGAGCGAACUGCGAAACACAAAACGAACGUAAAAAGCGUCAUACAAACUUGAACAUUUUGCCGAAUGCAGCAACUAAUAGAUGGCGCUACAAUAAAGUAAGCUGUCAAAAAACACUUUUUUUGUUCAAUGCGACCAGCCGUGUAAAGGGUACUUCCCUUCACUAAUCAAGGAAGCUGUGUCAGUGAGGGUUCGAUUUGGCUAUAUCAGUUCAGGAUGCCUGGGCGGCACCAGGGCCUAGGGAAUUUCACUUUCAUGCUGGACAAUUUGCCAAGUUUUUGGCGCGAUUUUUGAAACGUAAUCGUCACAAAAUCAAACAAGU